GAUCGUGUUCGUUGUAGAUGCGAGCAGACUUUUAUUCUGAAGAAGCGGUGCAGAUGAGAAGGCGUCUGGCGUAUACCUGAGAGACGCAGGGUUCAGGAUCAGGUGCUCUUCCCCUGUGGUUCCUGUCAAAUUCUUCAGCUCCUGAGACAGGAGAUCUCACACUCUUCACACGCGGCC
ensembl:lncRNA